AGGGCGUGACGUUGGUGCACAACGUUCUUUUGACGGAGGUGCAUGAAACCACAUUUGCGAGCUUGGAAUAUGACUCUUUUGGAAUGAAUCUUGAUAGAUGGUUGCCGAAUGAACUUGAUGAAUAUCUCUUUUGUAUUGUAUUUGAAGUGAAACCCUAAAUGUAUCUUUGGGGCCGUUUUCACUUUUAAUUUGGCAACCCGUGUAUAUAUGAACUUUUGAAAACUUUUGUAUGCCACUUUGGGUUGUAAUUGCUAAAGUUCAAGAUGUGAAUAUUUGCUUGCUA